UGCCUUUAGGCUAGAUACCCAUGAUGUAUAUAAAAGUUGUCGGGUAACUUUCAUUAGCAGACACCCUUUAAUCUGCAGCGAAAGAUAGUGCUUUUCUUUUUUUUUUUUUCUUUUAAAUUCCUCAGCCUGGUGAAGGAAGAUGAAGGUUUUGGCGGCAAUUCUUUUUCUCAGUCUGCUGUCUUGCUCAAUGGCCAUCAUUUCCAUACACUUGGGACAUUCCCAUCAUUAUGUGCCUUCCUAUGGACACGGACACAGCUAUGGUCAUGGAUACAGUCAUGGUCCUGUCUACUAUUAUCCUUCCUAUCAUCACGCCCUUCAUCAUGGACAUCACGGGAAAGCCCUGACUAUAAGUUUGGGAAAGCGAUGAUCAAGGAACUAAGGAGGACGUUACAGCGAACAAAAGAGAAGCUACUCUCACUAGAUAUAACAGUCAAUAAAAUACAAAGUUAUAGCAUAUUGACAAAUUUCUAACGCACCUUUGUCAGAAACUGAACUGAAACUUUGUCUUCUUAAAAUAUGUAUUUUCACAUAGAAGUUGGGCUAAGUUUUCGCAUUGAUCUGAUGUUUUAUACAUAAUUUUAUUUGUAAAUAAACUGUUAUUAUGUCACUCUGAUUUAAAUGCA